UGUUAAAAAUUUCAUUCACACUAAUAAAAAUUAGCAUGACUGACGAAAUAACCAAACAGUGACACAUAACGUGUCACGUCCACAUCAUGAUGAUAUAUAAGAACCAGUUUUAACAAUAAAAAUGGAUGAACUUUUUAACA
rfam:Gossypium raimondii Chr11_contig_1363, whole genome shotgun sequence.